rnacentral:lncRNA from 1 species
UGUGGUAGUGUCAAGUUUUGUUUAUGGAGCAUAACUUGUUGUUUGAAAAUUCUUGAGUUAAGUCUUGCUUCUAAGGCAAGAGUUAUAUAACAUCUCAUAAAUCAAGAAACAAUAUGGUAGUGUCAACACUUGUCCAUUGGGCGUAACUUAUUCUUUUGAGGGGUUCUUGGGCUAAGUCUUGUUUUUGAGGCAAGACUAAUAGAGCAUCACAUAAAUCAAGACACAAUAUGAUAGUGUCAACUAUUUUCCAUGAGGCGUAACUUGUCGGUUAAGUCUUGUCUCUAAGACAAGAAUUAUAGAAUAUCUCAUAAAUCAAGACAUGAUAUGGUAGUGUCAACUCUUGCCCAUGGGGCGUAACUUUCUAUUUGAAAGUCCUUGGACUAAUUUGUGCCUCUAAGGCAAGAGUUAU